rnacentral:snRNA from 1 species
GGAUGUGAGGGUGAUCUGGCUGCAUCUGUCACUCCAUUGACCACCAGGAUUGAUUUGGCUGAUCUGGCUGGCUAGGGAGGUGCUCCCUUCCUCUCUCACCCCUCCAUGUUUGACUCUUCUGGAGCUGCAUGCUUGGUCAAAGAGGAUGACCACUCUCAACAGAAGAAGGCAGUUUCUUCAGUCAAAAGUAUAAGAGUAGCUCUGCUCCCCUGCUAGAACCUCCAAAAAUAUAAGAGUAGCUCUGCUCCCCUGCUAGAAUCUCAAGUUAAUUAGGCAGCAGUAGUAGGGAUGAGGAGAAGGAUUAUAGAAACCUGUAGGAGGAAUAAUUAGUU